rnacentral:lncRNA from 1 species
AUGGCUGAACCCACAACAACAACAACAACUGCUGAACCAACAACAACCACCGAACCCACAACAACCGCUGAACCCACAACAACGACUGCUGAACCCACUACAACGACAGCUGAACCCACAACAACAACAGCUGAACCCACAACAACUGCUGAAGCCACAACAACAACUGCUGAAUCCACAACUACUGAACCAACAACAACAGCAAGAGCUGAACCCACAACAACUGCUGAAAACACAACAGCAACUCCUAAAUCAACAAGAACAACAACUGCUGAAACCACAACAACAGCUGAACCCACAACAACAACAGCUGAACCCACAGCAACAACAGCUGAACCCACAACAACUACUGAACCAACCACAACAGCUGAACCCACAACAACAACUGCUGAACCCACAACAACAACAGCUGAACCCACAACAACAACAGCUGAACCUACAACAACAGCUGAAACUACAACAACUUCUGAACUUACAACAACAGCUGAACCCACAACAACCUCUCAAGCACCACCAACAACAAACACUUCUCAACCAACAACAACAGCUGAACCCACAACAACAACUGCUGAACCCACAACAACAACCGCUGAACCCACAACAACAACCGCUGAACCCACAACAACAGCUGAACCCACAACAACAACAACAACAACAGCUGAACCCACAACAACCGCUGAAGCCACAACAACAACUGCUGAAUCCACAACUACUGAGCCAACAACAACAAAAACAGCUGAACCUACAUCAACAACAGCUGAACCUACAUCAACAACAGCUGAACCUACGACAACAGCUGAACCCACAACUACAUCUGCUGAACCCACAACAACAACAGCUGAACCCACAACAAAAGCUGAACCCACAACAACAACUUCUGAACCCACAACAACUACUGCUGAACCCACAAAAACAACAGCUGAACCCAAAAUAACAACAGCUGAAUCUACAACAACGACAGUUGAACCCACAACAACCACGGCUAAACCCACAACAACAACAACAUCAGCUGAACUCACAAAAACAACAACUGCUAAACCAACAACAACACCUCCUAAACUAUCAUUUACAACAACAACACCUGCUAAACCUACAACAUCUAAAACAACAAUUGCACCAAGCACAACUUCACUAAAAACAACUCCUAACCCCAAAACAACUGCAACAUCUACACCCAGUGAAUCAACAAAUACAACCCCAUGUAAUCCGACAAAUGCACCACCAACAUCAGCUGGUUCUUCCAAAACAACAGCAACAACAGCUGGUUCCUACAAAACAACAGCAACAACAGCUGGUUCCUCCAAAACAACAGCAACAACAGCUGGUACCUCCAAAACAACAGCAACAACAAAUGGUUCUUUCAAGACAACUACACAACGAACAACAUUUUCUCCCAAAACGACGGCGGCAAUAACAACUGCUAAACCCACAACAACAACCACUCCUCAACCACCACCACCAACAACAACUUCUCAACAAACUACGACAAAAAUAGCUGAACCCACAACAACAGCUGAACCCACAACAACUACUGAACCAACAACAACAACUGCUGAACCCACAACAACAACAGCUGAACCUACAACAACUUCUGAACCUAACACAACAGCUGAACCAACAACAACAGCUGAACCCACAACAACCAUGGCUGAACCCACAACAACAACAACAACUGCUGAACCAACAACAACCACCGAACCCACAACAACCGCCGAACCCACAACAACGACUGCUGAACCCACUACAACGACAGCUGAACCCACAACAACAACAGCUGAACCCACAACCACUACUGAAUCAACAACAACAGCUGAACCCACAACAACUGCUGAAGCCACAACAACAACUGCUGAAUCCACAACUACUGAACCAACAACAACAGCAAGAGCUGAACCCACAACAACUGCUGAAGCCACAACAACAACUGCUGAAUCCACAACUACUGAACCAACAACAACAGCAAGAGCUGAACCCACAACAACUGCUGAAAACACAACAACAACUCCUGAAUCAACAAGAACAACAACUGCUGAAACCACAACAACAGCUGAACCCACAACAACUACUGAACCAACCACAACAGCUGAACCCACAACAACAACUGCUGAACCCACAACAACAACAGCUGAACCCACAACAACAACAGCUGAACCUACAACAACAGCUGAAACUACAACAACUUCUGAACUUACAACAACAGCUGAACCCACAACAACCUCUCAAGCACCACCAACAACAAACACUUCUCAACCAACAACAACAGCUGAACCCACAACAACAACUGCUGAACCCACAACAACAACCGCUGAACCCACAACAACAACCGCUGAACCCACAACAACUACUGAACCAACUACAACAGCUGAACCAACAACAACUACUGAACCAACAACAACAGCUGAACCCACAAUAACAACAGUUCAACCCACAACAACCACGGCUGAACCCACAACAACAACAACUGCUGAACCCACAACAACAACAGCUGCUGAACCCACAACAACAACAACUGAACCCACAACAACUACUGAACCAACUACAACAGCUGAACCCACAACCACAACAGCUGAACCCACAACAACAACUGCUGAACCCACAACAACAACAGCUGAACCCACAACAACAACAGCUGAACCUACAACAACAGCUGAAACUACAACAACUUCUGAACUUACAACAACAGCUGAACCCACAACAACCUCUCAAGCACCAACAACAACAGCUGAACCCACAACAACAACUGCUGAACCCACAACAACAACCGCUGAACCCACAACAACAACCGCUGAACCCACAACAACAACCGCUGAACCCACAACAACUACUGAACCAACUACAACAGCUGAACCAACAACAACUACUGAACCAACAACAACAGCUGAACCCACAACAGCAACUGCUGAACCCACAACAACAACUGCUGAACCCACAAAAACAACGGCUGAACCCAAAAUAACAACAGCUGAACCUACAACAACUACUGCUGAACCCACAACGACAACUGCUGAACCCACAAUUACAACUGCUGAACCCAAAACAACAACUGCUGAACCCAAAACAACAACUGCUGAACCCACAACAACAACUGCUGAACCCACAAUAACAGCUGAAUCCACAACAACAACAGUUCAACCCACAACAACCACGGCUGAACCCACAACAACAACAACUGCUGAACCCACAACAACAACAGCUGCUGAACCCACAACAACAACAACUGAACCCACAACAACUACUGAACCAACUACAACAGCUGAACCCACAACAGCAACUGCUGAACCCACAACAACAACUGCUGAACCCACAAAAACAACGGCUGAACCCAAAAUAACAACAGCUGAACCUACAACAACUACUGCUGAACCCACAACGACAACUGCUGAACCCACAAUUACAACUGCUGAACCCAAAACAACAACUGCUGAACCCACAACAACAACUGCUGAACCCACAACAACUGCUGAACCCACAACAACCACGGCUGAGGCCACAACGACAACAGCUGAACCCACAACAUCAACAGCUGAACCCACAACAACAAUAGCUGAACCAACAACAACAACAGCUGAAUCGACAACAACCGCUAAACCAACAACAACUAGUGAACCAACAACCACGGCUGAGGCCACAACAACAACGGCUGAGGCCACAACAGCUGAGCCAACAACAACAACUGCUGAACUCACAACAACAACUGCUGAACUCACAACAACCACGGCUGAGGCCACAACAACAACUGAACCAACCACAACAGCUGAACCCACAACAACAGCUGCUGAACCCACAACAACUACUGAACCAACAACAACUGCUGAACCAACAACAACUACUGAACCAAUAACAACAGCUGAACCCACAACAACAGCAGAAUCCACAACAACAACACUUGAACCCACAACAACAACAGUUCAACCCACAACAACCACGGCUGAACCCACAACAACAACAGCUGCUGAACCCACGACAAUAACAUCUGAACCCACAACAACUACUGAACCAACAACAACUGCUGAACCCACAACAACAACAGCUGCUGAACCCACAACAACAACAACUGAACCCACAACAACUAUUGAACCAACGACAACAGUUGAACCCACAACAACAACAGCUGCUGAACCCACAACAACUACUGAACCAACUACAACUAUUGAACCAACCACAACAGCUGAACCCACAACAACAACAGCUGCUGAACCCACAACAACUACUGAACCAACUACAACAGCUGAACCCACAACAACAACUGCUGAACCCACAACAACAACUGCUGAACCCACAACAACAACUGCUGAACCCACAAAAACAACAGCUGAACCCAAAAUAACAACAGCUGAACCUACAACAACUACUGCUGAACCCACAACGACAACUGCUGAACCCACAAUUACAACUGCUGAACCCAAAACAACAACUGCUGAACCCACAACAACAACUGCUGAACACACAACAACCACGGCUGAACCGACAACGACCGCUAAACCAACAACAACUAGUGAACCAACAACCACGGCUGAGGCCACAACAGCUGAGCCAACAACAACAACUGCUGAACUCACAACAACAACUGCUGAACUCACAACAACCACGGCUGAGGCCACAACAACAACCACGGCUGAGGCCACAACAACAACCGCUGAAGCCAUAACAACAUCUGCUGAACCCACAACAACAACAGCUGAACCCACAAUUACAACUGCUGAAACUACAGCAACAACAGCUGAACCCACAACAACAACAGCUGAAUCGACAACGGCCGCUGAAUCAACAACAACUAGUGAACCAAGAACAACAGCUGAAACCACAACAACAACUGCUGAGGCCACAACAACGGUUGAACCCACAACGACAAUUGCUGAACCCACAACGACAAUUGCUGAACCAACAACAACAAUUGCUGAACCCACAACAACACCUGCUGAACCCUCAACAACAACUGCUGAACCUACAACAACAACACCCGAAGCCACAACGACAGUUGCUGAAUUGACAACAAUGACUGCUGAACCAACAACAAGUGAACCAAGACCAACAGAGUCCUGUUCAAACAAAAACUGCUGCCCACACAACAACAACUGUUGCCCAAACAACAACAACAACAACAACAACAACAACAACAACUGUUGCCCAAACAACAACAACAACAACUGUUGCCCAAACAACAACAACAACUGUUGCCCAAACAACCACAACAACAACAACUGUUGCCCAAACAACCACAACAACAACAACUGUUGCCCAAGCAACAACAACAACAACAACUGUUGCCCAAACAACAACAACAACUGUUGCCCAAACAACCACAACAACAACUGUUGCCCAAACAACCACAACAACAACUGUUGCCCAACCAACCACAACAACAACUGUUGCCCAAACCACAACAACAACAACUGUUGCCCAAACAACCACAACUGUUGCCCAAACAACAACAACAACAGCAACAACAAUUGCUGUCCAAACAAUAACAGCUGUUGCCCAAACAACAACUUUUGCAAUUGA